GGGGAAUAUUGCACAAUGGGGGAAACCCUGAUGCAGCAACGCCGCGUGAGUGAUGACGGCCUUCGGGUUGUAAAACUCUGUCUUUGGGGACGAUAAUGACGGUACCCAAGGAGGAAGCCACGGCUAACUACGUGCCAGCAGCCGCGGUAAUACGUAGGUGGCAAGCGUUGUCCGGAUUUACUGGGCGUAAAGGGAGCGUAGGUGGAUAUUUAAGUGGGAUGUGAAAUACUCGGGCUUAACCUGGGUGCUGCAUUCCAAACUGGAUAUCUAGAGUGCAGGAGAGGAAAGGAGAAUUCCUAGUGUAGCGGUGAAAUGCGUAGAGAUUAGGAAGAAUACCAGUGGCGAAGGCGCCUUUCUGGACUGUAACUGACACUGAGGCUCGAAAGCGUGGGGAGCAAAC
rnacentral:rRNA from 1 species